CUUCCCCAGGAAGGGGUGUGAUCCUGCCUGCCCCCGCCGAGGCGGUGGGAGGAAGGGUGAUGGGCGGGCUCCGAGUCCGGGUCUACGGGCUUUGGCCGCAGGGCUGGCCUUGCCUGAAUUUACUGGUGCGCCAGUGAGCGACCCUCUCGCUUGUCACUAAGCCACCCCUAGCCUGUGUCCUGAAUGCCACCCCCUCCCGCUCCAUUACGUGCUGGAAUCCAAGUAAAAGCCUGGGCACAGAGGUCCCAGCCCCGGGUCCCGCCACGCGCUUUUAAGAAGAGGGCAGCUAGGGCGGCUGCAGAGAGGGGGAAGGGAGACUAGGGGAAGACAGGUCACAGGGAGAGCGUCUGGUGGAAAGUUAACCCUGGACGAGCACGCCCUACCUGGAGUAACAGGUUUGGAAUGGGUUGUGGCAACCAAGGAGAACGGUGGGCGACCAAGUUGGGGUUGGGAGGGCCCCUACCGGGGUAAAAUUUGAAGUCUUCCCUUUAAAAGGGAGAGACUAAAGGACAACUGGGAGUUGUCACUACAGCGUGCCAGAUAGGGGACCCCACUAGAGAGGAAGCGGCUACAGUAGUUGUUGCUGUAGACGACCCAACCACCGCCUGCAAGAAGAGAAAAACGCCCCCGCUGGAGAAUCGAGGCAUCUGUCGGCUGCUCCAGAGCACAGAAACCGAGGCCUCCCACGGGUGUAACUGGAAGCCGCACGUGGGGGCUCCGCUGACUUUAUUAGGUCGGUGGAGACACACCCGACCACUUGGAGGCGUGCGCCCCGGGGCUGCAGCUCCAGAUCUCGGUGUAGGCACCAGGCGGGUGACCCAGAGGAUGCGACGUGAGACUGAGAAACUCCCCCCGCUGUGGGGAAGGAUUUUUCCAGCAGAUGUUGGAACGAAAGACUCAGACUGUGCACUGCCAGUGGACAAGGAGGCUCAGGUGUGCCUUGUGAAAGAGAACUCCACAUAGAACCAAUGGAUAUAAGGGCAAUUAUAAAGAAAUUCUCCACUUUGUAUUAUACUAACCAGACCAGACUGCAGAUUUUCUUUAUUUUUCAUUUAGUUUGUGAAUACUUACUUGUAAACUGAUUAGAUUAUAAGAACUUGAACUCCCUACCUUGGUGGGUAGCUAAGUUCAUUCUAAUUAAAAAAAACUAAAAGUCA